ensembl:processed_transcript 2610203C22Rik RIKEN cDNA 2610203C22 gene
CGAAGAUGACAAGCAGCUUUGAAUUCCUUCUGUUUUCAUGUUGAGCAGCAGCUGCUGCUAGAGCCUGGUAUGUCUGAGAUGAUUCCCACUCAUCACUGACUCUCUUGGGUGAGAGGAAGCGCCACACUCAUCCCUAGAAGAGUAUGAAGAAAAAGUGGAGGAAGCUGGAACUAAGUUCAAUGCAGCUCAACAGCUAUGAGAAGUAUGCCGCUGUGGGAUGUUCAGAGUGGAGGAGGCCACACAUGUGCAGGUGCCGCUCUGGAAACAUCUGGGCUGUGAAGGUGAACACUGCAGGAGAGGAGCAGUAGACACCACAUGGAUGCUGAGAAUUGAACCUGGGUCAUUUGGAAGAGCAGCUGAUAAUCUCCUAAUUGCCAAGCCACCUCUCCUGUCCCUGUCCACUGCUUCGGUAGCCGAGUAUUCUUUGUUUGUUUUAAGCCUGAGUCUCAUGUGGCCUGGAUGAUCUCACCCUGACUGUGUAGAAGAGGAUGACCUUAAACUCCUGGUCCUCCUGCCUCCACCUUAGAAGUCUGGGAUUACAAGUGAGCUGCUGUGUCUGGUGUUGCAAACACUUUUCUAUAUUAAUCUGCCUUAAACAUGACUUUAUUUUAUUCUUUAAGUACUAUAGUUGAGUGUUAACUAUUGGAAAUGUGCAUCCAACAUUUUCAAUUACAUAUUACACAUGAGUGAACAGUUUUAUAAGGAAACCCACUGUGCAUACCAUGAAUAUUACUUUGGCUAGUGAAACAGUGAGCCAAGGGGGAUGAACACUUUCAGGCUCUGGUACAUUUUGCUUACUUGCUUUUUGGUAUAAUAAAUUCACCCUCCCAUGGCACAGAAGGUGAUGCUUGCCGCUGCCUUGUAUCCUAACAUAGCUCUACUCUUAACUCUCAACAUUCUGUUUGCUUUCUUUCUUUUUAAAUUUUUUAAAAUUUCAAGGUACUAUACAAGAAAGUUUCAGUCAAAGUAUAAUUUGGGGAUAUAAACAAAGAUUCUGAUCGUUCCUUUCUCUGUUGUAUAUAAGAGACUAAGGAAAGAUCCUGCCCUUGAGAUUUUACAAAUCACAAUAUUUAGCAAGACACAGAGGAAUGGGACCCCCCAUUCAGUGCUGGCAUGAAUGAAAAAACUGGUGUAAAAACUAGAGUGGUAGUUUCUAAAAAGAAAUUAAUAAUAAUACAAAAUUAUCAUAGAUUCAGAAAUUCCAUUCAUUUGUAUCAAGUAAGAGAAAUAAAAAUGUACACACAAA